rnacentral:rRNA from 1 species
GCCCAAACCAACGAAUGUUGGGGUUGUAGGACAAUCUACAUGAAGUUACAAAUCUAUAUCAUAGCAGAAAGAGUUGGAAAACUCUGGCAUAGAAAGUGAAACCCUUGUAUGCGAAAUGGUAUAGACUUCUGAUUGUAUCCUGAGUAGGGCGGGGCACGUGAAACCCUGUCUGAAUCUGCCGGGACCAUCCGGUAAGGCUA